AACGCAAAUUGCGCCCGAGGCCUCGGCCAAAGGCCAUGUCUGCCUCAGCGUCGGCUUCACCCCUCCUCUCCUUUUUUUGUGAGAGGGAGCUGGUGGUCUCGGUCUCUUCGGACCGGGUCCGCCGAAGGACCAGAGGCUCAGCCGCUCCCUACGUCUAAAAGACAAGGGCAACAGUCUGGUAGGCGACUCGUCGCAUGCCUUCGCUGGUGCCCCGGGCGGCGGCCGGCCGGCAGGAGGUGCGCUCGACGCGCACUCUCAACAUUCGACCUGAGAUCAGGCAAGAGCACCCGCUGAACUUAA
rnacentral:misc_RNA from 1 species